rnacentral:rRNA from 1 species
GACGAACGCUGGCGGCGUGCUUAACACAUGCAAGUCGAACGGUAAGGCUCCAGCUUGCUGGGGUACACGAGUGGCGAACGGGUGAGUAACACGUGGGUGACCUGCCCUGCACUUCGGGAUAAGCCUGGGAAACUGGGUCUAAUACCGGAUAGGACCGCACCGUGAGGGUGUGGUGGAAAGUUUUUUCGGUGUGGGAUGGGCCCGCGGCCUAUCAGCUUGUUGGUGGGGUAAUGGCCUACCAAGGCGGCGACGGGUAGCCGGCCUGAGAGGGUGGACGGCCACAUUGGGACUGAGACACGGCCCAGACUCCUACGGGAGGCAGCAGUGGGGAAUAUUGCACAAUGGGCGGAAGCCUGAUGCAGCGACGCCGCGUGGGGGAUGACGGCCUUCGGGUUGUAAACUCCUUUCACCAUCGACGAAGGGUUUCUGACGGUAGAUGGAGAAGAAGCACCGGCUAACUACGUGCCAGCCGCCGCGGUAAUAC